rnacentral:rRNA from 1 species
GAUCCUGGCUCAGGACGAACGCUGGCGGCGUGCCUAACACAUGCAAGUCGAGCGGAGACAGUGAGUAGCUUGCUAUGAGCUGUUUUAGCGGCGGACGGGUGAGUAACGCGUGAGCAACCUUUCCCAGACAGGGGAAUAACACACCGAAAGGUGUACUAAUACCGCAUAAGACCACGGGAUCACAUGGUUCUGGGGUAAAAGAAUUAUCGGUUUGGGGUGGGCUCGCGUCCGAUUAGGUAUUUGGUGAGGUAACGG